GCCAGUGUGAUAUAACGGUUUGAACAUUAGAUGGCAACUCUGGAGACCAAGGUUCAAAUCCCUGCUCUGCCA